rnacentral:rRNA from 1 species
GACGAACGCUGGCGGCGUGCUUAACACAUGCAAGUCGAACGGAAAGGCCCUGCUUUUGUGGGGUACUCGAGUGGCGAACGGGUGAGUAACACGUGAGUAACCUGCCCUUGACUUUGGGAUAACUUCAGGAAACUGGGGCUAAUACCGGAUAGGAGCUCCUGCUGCAUGGUGGGGGUUGGAAAGUUUCGGCGGUUGGGGAUGGACUCGCGGCUUAUCAGCUUGUUGGUGGGGUAGUGGCUUACCAAGGCUUUGACGGGUAGCCGGCCUGAGAGGGUGACCGGGCACAUUGGGACUGAGAUACGGCCGAGACUCCUACGGGAGGCAGUAGUGGGGAAUAUUGCACAAUGGGCGGAGGCCUGAUGCAGCAACGCCGCGUGCGGGAAGACGGCCUUCGGGUUGUAAACCGCUUUCGCCUGUGACGAAGCGUGAGUGACGGUAAUGGGUAAAGAAGCACCGGCUAACUACGUG